GUCCUUCCAUGUCUGGUCAAUAAAAUAACCAGUGGCAAGCCAAUGAGUACUUUGAAUGUACUCGCAAACAGCCCAUGAUAUGAACAAUGAAAGUGAAGGAUAACAAUAUGAUGCAUCUUUGGUGGAAUUCACCUUGGUAGUAAAUGAUCAUGAAUAUGCAUCAAGUUAAAGAAUUACUUUUGAAGAAUAGGUUAUGGAUAUCAAUAUCUGCUGAGGGUUGAACCAUCCGGGUUCACCCUGUAUGCCAAGUCACCAACUUGGUCAUAUCAUUACUUUCAUAACAACUCCUUUCAUCACAACUCACACACACUUUGUUUAUGCAGAAACGACUGGACGUAGUUUAAGCAGGAUUACCCAACUGUCCUUGACCGUGGACAUGGCUAUUCGAAUAGUUUUACACUCUGCAGAGGUAGUACGCUGGACUCACGAGAUCCGAGAAACUUCCGUGUCAUCCACGACUCGCGGUAUAUAACAUACCCAAAGUAAGUACACGAUCAAUGCCUUUCCCCUGACGAUACUAGACAAAGAGGUCCACUCGAUUGGUACCCAGCCCACAUGUUGUACGUCUUACGAGCAUCGACUCUGGACAGUAUCAACCAUGCGAGGACCAACGGUGUGCCUGGAACACAUAAAAAUAUCAUAGUCGCCCUACCUGGCAUGACCCCGUCACGAGAGUGACUGUCAUCGUUUCUAUAUAGGGGGUACCCUGACGGCAUAUGCCAGGGGAUGACUAAUCGAGGUGAAGGAAAGGAUGUCGCGGAGGAUCCGGGACGGGAUAGGGUAAUAGUACGCAGUGGUUUACCCAGGUUUGGGGCUCUCCGGAUAAAUAAUACCCCUACUCCUGCAUUUGUGUAUAUGAAGUAUCUUGGUAGUACAAGGUUGCUCCUAGAGCUGUAUUAGAGGAGGAAGAGAGUUGAGUGCCUCCUUCCCGGCCUCAUGUCUAAGUGUGUGUAUGUGGGGGAGUGAGAG
rnacentral:lncRNA from 1 species